rnacentral:rRNA from 1 species
GAGACCUGCAUCUACAAUUGCUAACGAUUCCUCCGGGAAGAUCGAGCACAUUGUAGGGACUGCCCUGGAAACAGGGAGGAAGGCGCAGGCCAUGAUAGGUCAGUAUGGUCCUAAUCUUCUAGGCUACACGCGCGUUGCAAUGAUAGAGACAAUGGGAUACAACUCCGAAAGGAGAAGUUAAUCCUCGAAACUCUAUCUUAGUUUAGAUCGAGCCCUGUAACUCGGACUCGUGAAACCGGAAUCCCUAGUAAUCGGACGUCAACAGCGUCCGGUGAAUAU